rnacentral:rRNA from 1 species
AUGCACGCUGGCGGCGUGCCUCAUCCAUGCAAGUCGAACGCUUCACUUCGGUGAAGAGUGGCGAACGGGUGAGUAAUACAUAAGUAACCUGGCAUCUACAGGGGGAUAACUGAUGGAAACGUCAGCUAAGACCGCAUAGGUGUAGAGAUCGCAUGAACUCUAUAUGAAAAGUGCUACGGGACUGGUAGAUGAUGGACUUAUGGCGCAUUAGCUUGUUGGUAGGGUAACGGCCUACCAAGGCGACGAUGCGUAGCCGACCUGAGAGGGUGACCGGCCACACUGGGACUGAGACACGGCCCAGACUCCUACGGGAGGCAGCAGUAGGGAAUUUUCGGCAAUGGGGGAAACCCUGACCGAGCAACGCCGCGUGAAGGAAGAAGUAAUUCGUUAUGUAAACUUCUGUCAUAGAGGAAGAACGGUGGAUAUAGGGAAUGAUAUCCAAGUGACGGUACUCUAUAAGAAAGCCACGGCUAACUACGUG